AUUGAACGCUGGCGGCAGGCCUAACACAUGCAAGUCGAACGAGUGGCGGACGGGUGAGUAAUGUCUGGGAAACUGCCCGAUGGAGGGGGAUAACUACUGGAAACGGUAGCUAAUACCGCAUACCAUCGGAUGUGCCCAGAUGGGAUUAGCUAGGAGGUGGGGUAACGGCUCACCUAGGCGACGAUCCCUAGCUGGGCUGAGAGGAUGACCAGCAAAACUGGAAAUGUGACACGGUCCAGACUCCUCCGGUAGGCAGCAGUGGUGAAUAUUGCACAAUGGUGGCAAGCCUGAUGCAGCCAUUCUGCGUGUAUGAAGAAGGCCUGCGGGUUGUAAAGUACUUUCAGAGAGGAGGCGUUACUCGCAGAAGAAGCACCGGCUAACUCCGUGCCAGCAGCCGCGGUAGUUC
rnacentral:rRNA from 1 species